ensembl:lncRNA
UGAGGGUGGGCUCAGACCUGGUGAGGGUGGGCUCAGACCUGGUGGGGGUGGGCUAAGACCUGGUGGGGGUGGGCUGAGAUCUCCAAGGUCAUCUUCCAAUGGCAGGAAGCCAAGCAGCCCACCCCCAUGCCCCUCUUCCCUCUCCGCCCGACAGACACUCCUCUUCAAGGCCACAGCUCUGCCAAUUAUUCAGCAUACAACUAAUCGUGUGUGUUGAAUGUAUGUUUGGGCGUGCUCCUGGUGUGUGUGGGCGCGUGCCUGUGCGUGUGUGUGUGUGUGGGUGCUUGUGUGUGGCUUGCGUGUGUGUGCGUUCUUAUGUGUGUGUGCUUGGGGGUUGACCUGUUUUUCAUGUCCUUAUGUGUGGAUGAAUGUGUGGGGUGUGGUGUGUGCGCCUUGGGAUCGACCGGUUUUACAUGACUUUGUGUGGAUAAAGGUGUCGGUGUGUGUAUGUGUGUGUAUGUUUGUGUAUGUGUGUGUGCUUACAAUAGCGAGGCCACAUCCUGCAUAUCAAGUGUUUUAUGAUGUGUUCAUAGACGAAUGUCUUGAGGCAACAAUAUGCAUUGAAAUAUGCAUUGGAUUAUCUUUGUAUUCAAGGCUGUCUCAUCAUUCAUGAAAAGGUUUGAUUAUUUCCUUUGGGGAUUCAUCGCGGGCAAUUUCUCUCAACGGCAGAGCAGAAAUUAUAAGAUGAACAAAUAGCUUUGUUUUAUAUUUAUUAAUAGUAUGUUUUAAAAAAAAAGGAUAAUAAUUUAUAUAAAAUAUAUAUUUUUUCAAAUAAUUUAUGUAUUGAUUAUUAACAUUCAGAAUUCUAUGCAUGAUAUUAUACAUGUGAGAAAUCAUUACCAUACAUAAAAAAUUAUUGAUUUCAUUUUUUUAUUUAACGCAAAAAUGCUACUUAAAAUGGCCGCCGUGUUACUCCAACUGCCGGUUGCUCCAACCGCCGCGCCGCCCGGUGUAGCUUCGCUCUGGCAGGUGGUACUCCUCCGUCUGCCAGCCGCCUCCACACACCGACGAGCACAUCGUCCACUCAGCUGCACGAGCGGCCCUCUGCCUGACCUCGUAAAACAAUAUGGUCAGCGGGAAAAAAAUGGAUGGCUUCAAACCAAUGAGCUACUUAAACUGUAUUAACGUUUUUCGCUUACGCGUGCCAGCAGUCCUUCCUCAGGAAGGAGGCAGCGUUGUCUCUCAUUGGCUGAGAGAAAGAGGGGGGGG